rnacentral:rRNA from 1 species
UACGUAGGGUGCAAGCGUUGUCCGGAAUUAUUGGGCGUAAAGAGCUCGUAGGCGGUCUGUCGCGUCGGCUGUGAAAACCCGGGGCUCAACCCCGGGCCUGCAGUCGAUACGGGCAGACUAGAGUGCGGUAGGGGAGACUGGAAUUCCUGGUGUAGCGGUGAAAUGCGCAGAUAUCAGGAGGAACACCGGUGGCGAAGGCAGAUCUCUGGGCCGUAACUGACGCUGAGGAGCGAAAGCAUGGGGAGCGAACAGG